ensembl:lncRNA
CUGAUGCAGUAAGAUGUACAAGUGCAUCAUCUCCAGAAUCAAUAGCCUGAUGGACGAGGAGAGGAAGAAAAGCAAAGCCACCACCCAGCUCUUCAACCUCCUGCCUUGCGCUGUCAAUCCGGCCUACGCCUAUUCAAUGAGCCUGUUCUCCUCCUGGAACUUCUCCACACUUCGAGUGUCUGAACUUUGCUGCCAACUGAUUUCCUUAAGAAAGCUCAUGCCUGCCUCCUGUCUUUCCUCAAAGGAGAAUUUACGACCAAAUCAUUGAGAACACAGAUAAUGUUGCAGAAAAUCAGUUCCUCCAGCAUAUGGGAAUGUGAAAAAGACCAUAAUGAUUGGAUACAAGAGUGGGAUAUCUUCAGUACAAAUACAGAUGGCUAAGAUGUAGGUAACUACAAAUGUGCUAGACACCUUAGAUGUGCUUUGUAGUCCACAGAGAUAAAUAAGAUACAUCAGAUUUAUUUUACUAGGACAAAAUAAAUUGAUCCUC